GGAGGGUGCAAGCGUUAAUCGGAAUUACUGGGCGUAAAGCGCGCGUAGGCGGUUUGGUCAGUCGGAUGUGAAAGCCCUGGGCUCAACCUGGGAAUGGCAUUCGAUACUGCCUGACUAGAGUAUGGUAGAGGGAAGUGGAAUUUCCGGUGUAGCGGUGAAAUGCGUAGAUAUCGGAAGGAACACCAGUGGCGAAGGCGACUUCCUGGGCCAAUACUGACGCUGAGGUGCGAAAGCGUGGGGAGCAAACAGGGAUUAGAUACCCUGGUAGUCCACGCCGUAAACGAUGAGAGCUAGAUAUCGGGAGGGUUGCCUUUCGGUGUCGCAGCUAACGCGUUAAGUUCUCCGCCUGGGGAGUACGCCGGCAACGGUA
rnacentral:rRNA from 1 species